rnacentral:rRNA from 1 species
GGAGGAAAGGGAAGAGCCCAGCGCUGACUCUCGGUCUUAGGCCGCUGAGAACUGUAGCGUAUAGGUGUGACUGUCCUGCUAUAUUGCAUUUCCGAAGUCUCUUUGAUAGGGGCCAACAUCCAGAGAGGGUGCGAGACCUGUACGGAAAGUAGUAUAGUUGGUAUGGUUACUCCUUGGAGUCGGGUUGCUUGAAAGUGCAGCCUAAAGUUGGUGAUAAACUUCAUCUAAGGCUAAAUAUCGACGCGAAAUCGAUAGCAAACAAGUACCGUGAGGGAAAGUUGCAAAGAACUUUGAAGAGAGAGUUCAAGAGAACGUGAAAUCGCUGAAGUGGAACCGGAGAGAGUUAACAUAACUUGGUAGCUAUAUCCUCUAAAGUCGCUUAACUGUGGCUCUGGGGGGUGGACGCUACCUGUUGUUGCACUGACUGCGUUGAUUGUGCUUUCCGAACAGUAUAGUGUUGCCCACUUUGUGGUGUCUUGCUUUCUGGGAGGUUUGUCAUAAUUAACGUAAAGCCAAUUCCCUUUGGAGUCAGUGUGAAAGUUAACCACCUUUCCGACCCGUCUUGAAACACGGACCGAGGAGUGUAAUUUAUACGCGAGUCAAGGGGUGGUGAAAACCCUAGGGGCGGAAUGAAAGUAAAGGCCGGUUAACCGGUUGACAUGGGAUCCGCUCUUCGGAGCGGCGCACCAUGGCCCUGUCUUGUCUGCUUGCAGAUGGGCAGCGGUAGAGCGUAUAGUUUGCGACCCGAAAGAUGGUGAACUAUGCUUGAGCAGGACGAAGCCAGAGGAAACUCUGGUGGAAGUCCGUAUCGGUUCUGACGUGCAAAUCGAUCGAUAGACUUGGGUAUAGGGGCGAAAGACUAAUCGAACCGUCUAGUAGCUGGUUCCCUCCGAA